UUUAUACUUGUAUUUUACAACAAAUUCCAGCAAGAUCACUGCUAGAUGUUCGAUAUGUAAACGAACUAUUGAGGAGAAGACCGGGACAACCUCAAACUUCAACAGACAUCUGUCAAGGAUGCACCCAGAAAAGUUCCAAGAAUACCGUGCCUCCACUGCUUCAGAUGUGAUGCCAGCUGCUCCAGGUCAGAAGACUAUCACAUCAUUUUUAAGUGAUGGACAACAAAGGAUGU